AUGCUGGGGGAGCUGCGCGGAGCAGGCGCCGCCGCCAUGUUGGGUCUGAAGCAAGGGAGGAGACGCCCGUCCAUCGGCUCAGCGUCGCGGGGUCCUUACCAUGGCAGUCGUCUCUCCAGCCCUGGAGAUGCUUCAGGGAAGAUGCAGGUCCAUGCUGCAGGCAGACUCAGGUCAGCAGAGACGCACCUGACACCUGGCUGUGCAGCCCAGGCUGAGCUGCGUGUGGCAGUGAGCACAGAGGAGAAAUGCAGGGUCUACCGUGGUGGCUCACGCCUGGAAUCCCAGCACUUCAGGAGGCUGAGGCGGGUGAUGGCUUGAGGCCAGGAGCUUCAGACAGUCCUGGGCAACAUACUGCAACCCUGUCUCUACAGAAAAGAAAAAAGUGAGUUGGGCAUGGAGGCUCAUGCCUGUGGUCCCAGCUACUCAGGAGGCUGAGGUGGGAGGAUCACUUGGGCCCGGGAGGCGGAGGCUGCAGGGAGCUGUGAUCACCCCUCGGCAUUCCAGCCUGGGCGACACAGCAAGAUCCUGUCUGAAAAGGAGAAAUAGGGAUAAAAGAGAAAUUUUAUAUAUAUAUAUAUUUCAUUGUAAUCUGUAAUCUGAUUCUGGGGGAGGGGAGCUGAUUAUUAUUAUUAUUUAUAGUAAUAAUAAUAAUUUACUAUUAUUUAUAAUAAUAUUAUUAUUAAUUCCUGAUUAUCGUCCAGGGUUUAUGUGACCUUGGACAUUAAUGUUACCUCUGAGCCUGUUGUCAUGAACCCCACUCAUCACAGUGGCUGUGGGGUCAGUGGUGCCCAGGACACGGGAGGCUCAGCCGUGGUGAAUUUCCAGACCAGUUCAGACCGGAGGGUGGGACGGGAGAGGAUCCUGGUCCAGACCAGUUCAGACCGGAGGGUGGGACGGGAGAGGAUCCUGGUGUGGAGUUCCACAGUCCAGCAGGAUGAUUGACGCUCUCACUCAAGAGCCGACAUCGGCUCCAAAUACCAAGAAGUGCUGCUUGUGAUACGUCUGAAAUAUGCAGAUCACCACAGCCACAGGCACAGAGAGAGAAAGAAAAGUUCCUCAACAUUGAGACGCGUCUCUAUCAAUGAACCGAGUUCAAAGCUGAGAGGCCACAGGUGUCUGGGACCACCUAGGGUCAUUAGGGUGGAGGUUCCCAUCUCCGUGUGGGACAGAAGAGGACUCCGGGUCCUCCCAGCAGGGAGGGGUCAGGCUCUGGGU
rnacentral:lncRNA from 10 species